rnacentral:rRNA from 1 species
AACGAACGCUGGCGGCAGGCUUAACACAUGCAAGUCGAGCGCCCCGCAAUGUGAGCGGCAGUCGGGUGAGUAACGCGUGGAAUGUACGUAUCUCUCCGGAAUAACGCAUGGAAACGGGGGCUAAUUCCGUAUACGUCCUUCGGGAGAAAGAUUUAUCGGAGAUGGAUGAGCACGAGUUGGAUUAGCUAGUUGGUGGGGUAAAGGCCUACCAAGGCGACGAUCCAUAGCUGGUCUGAGAGGAUGUUCAGCUACACUGGGACUGAGAAGCGGCCCAGACUCCUACGGGAGGCAGCAGUGGGGAAUAUUGGACAAUGGGGGCAAGCCUGAUACAGCCAUGCCGCGUGAGUGAUGAAGGCCCGAGGGUUGUAAAGCUAUUUCACCGGUGAAGAUAAUGACGGUAACCGGAGAAUGAGCCCCGGCUAACUUCGUGCCAGCAGCCGCCGUAAUAC